AACACUCUUCUUUAUAUAUCAAACACGCCUAUUUUACAGGUUCACCUCCCCUUCUGCCAAAGCCAACAACGACAACAACACCGAUCUCUUCACCUCCUUGAUCUCAGACAUCAAAUCCUACUCUGGCAACGACCCUCUUCUCGCAUGGCUCCAAUAUGUCUCUCUCUUUCUUUGUGGGUAGCUCUUUUAAUGGUUUUAAAAAGUAAGAUUGUUUGGCAUUUUGUAUAUACAGAGGGAUCAGAAAGAUGAAGGAUUCGCUGCCUUCGCAAGUACUGAACGAGAAGCUGCCACGGUUUUUGCAGAAGUGCGCGCAGACCUUCGAUUCCGAUCGCCGUUACAAAAACGACUUACGGUACCUCCGCGUUUGGUUACUGUUGAGAUGAGGUGGGUUCUUUCUAAAAUCCUUGAUAGCUCUUUCUCUCGCUGUCAAUGGCAGACAAGAAAUUAGGGUUCUUCACUAUAAAAGAAGAGGAUUAUGGAGGCAUAAAGAGAGGGGAGGCACGUACUACUACAGAAAGAAGGAGCACCAAAGAGUAAGACCUUUCUUUUAUUCUGCACUUUUAUUUAGUUGCUUUUCUGAAAUUUAAUAAUUUGUUAAGAUAAAGAGAGGCUGGAACCACUACCGGUGAGUUUUUAUCUUCAAUUUAAAUUUGUUUAUUAAUUGUGAUUAGGUUUUGAUAUUCACAACCAACCCAAUAUCAGAUCGCUGGAACUGCUACAAGUAAAAUCGUUUAUGUUAAUUUUGUGCGUUUAAUUGGAUUUAGGUUUUGCUAUUUUGGUUGGUUGGUUUUGAUUUAAGAAAUUGGUUUAGAUUUUGUAUAGUCAAAACCUAAUAUAGAUUCCUUUCAAUAUAUAACCCUCUAUAUAUUCCCAUCAGUGGUCAUAGAAGAGUGACCACUCUCUAACAAACUGAUUUUAUUUUGGUUUAUUUGGAAAUAUCUCAUGUCUCAUUCUUUUAAUGUGUUGUGGCUUAUAAGAGAAGAGCCAGUAGUGAGGAGAAGUUUGUUGAUUCUAUGUAGAAGAAAGCUAAGGUAACAAUUCCUUGCUGAUUGUUCUCUGCAUAAUCUGCCAUCUAAUUGGUUAUCAAUCAUAGAGUUCAAAUACUUUUCUAGGUUUUGUUUUAUAGUUCUCAAGUUUCCUUUGUUGUGGCAGGAGGAAAAAGGUUGAAUUUGCAUCAAAGAGAUUCUUGGCUUCAAGCGUAGGAAUGGUGCACACAAUCUUUCAUUAAUAACUAUGCAAAUUACGUUUGAUAUCUAUUUGCUUAUGAAUGAUAUCAGAUCUGACCCUCACUUAAACAAAGCAUAAGGUAUCACAUUCACAAAACUUAACGUAAGGUAUCCUAUGCUUUCUUGCUUUCUGAGAAAAUUUCAUUUCCAUUCCAUGUGUUUGUCUCAGGUUUUUGUUUUGUGUGUCUUUGGGUUAAUAAGGCAACAAGACUAAAGUUUUUAAGGCUGUCUGAGACUGUCAACAACAUCACAUAAUGGUAGCUUAAAUUCUUCUUUCAUUGCUGAUUUUUUUCAUUUGCUUUGAUUUGUAAAUAAGGACUGUGUUUUUGGAGAAGUGAAUAAUGACUCUAAGUUCGUUACAUUUCAUACUGAUUGUACUGUCGAUUGCCUGAAUGGAAGUAUAUAAGUAAGAUUUCCCUAAUUUAAAUGCCAUUGUGAUUUUUUUGUUUUUUGUGAUGCACUUGAAGCAUAGAGUUUCUUUAUUAAAAAAUUGAUAGUUGAUACUAGGUUAAUAUUUCUUCUUAUUAUACUCUAUGGGUUUUGUUUUCCCUUUACUACACAAACACAAACAAAAUUCCAAUAUGUUAUUUAUUUAUGUAGUUAUCCCAGAUUUUUUAAAAUUUGGGUUGCCAAACAUAGGUGUAUAUGAUUUAGACUCAAACCUUAAAUAACUACCAUUUGUUGUGAUAAGAUUGUAUAGAAAUUAUUCACCAUAAAUGUGUAUUAUCCAUACUUCUAAGAGGAUUGGCUCUGUUCCUUCUAUGCCUACUUAGAUAAAGUGGAUGUGGUUUUGUAAGGUGCCAUCAUCAGAGGUUCAUUUGAGACCAAUUGUGAGAAUUUGUGGUAUAACAAAAUUUGAAAAUAAUUAUAUUGAAAGUUAACACAAAUCUAUCUUUUAGAUUUAUUGGUUGAAGAGCAAUUUCUUCAAAAUUGGUUGGCACCGAUAAGCAAGAGUUCAAUGCAGAUGUUGGUCAUUUUGGAGUAGGAAUUUGUCAUGAUAUAUGCUUCUCUAAAGUUGCUACAUUCCUGUCAAGGUAAGCAAAAUACUAAAAUUUUGAACUGUUGUAGAGAUUAUAAACAAAAGAGACAUGCCAAAUCUGCCUUCAAUUAAAACGUCAGGUUUUUAGGAGUUAUCUUGCAACUAUACAAAGUAUUUUCAACCUUUCAUUAGGUUAUCCCACUUGGAAGACCAUUUUUUAGUUAUUAUUACAUGCGUUUUGUGAAAUUUCAUUAGACAUGUGAUAUGUAAUAUUUAGUCUCGAUUCCCACUUUAUCUCAUCCUAUUAUAGAUUUGCAUCUCCUCUAUAGGACUCAAAUAUCACAUUGGAUUCUUGCUUAUCACAAGUGUAGACUAUGUUGGUAAGGUGUGGAUUUUGAGAUUAAGUUGCUCACAAUUGGUGGGAGAAGAUUGAAGCUUACAAUUUGGGACAUAGGCAACUGCUGGAAUUAUUUUGAAUUAUAGUUUCAUUUUAAUCUUUGAUUAAUGAUGCUUUUGGAAGUGAUAGUUUAUGCUAACAUGUAAUCUUUCUCUUCUUUCAAGUUAGUCAUUGCUUUUGGUGCAUAAAUAGAUUGUAGAGCUAUUAACAAUAGAUGAAAGAUAUGUAUAUAUGAUUUUUAGUUAGGUGAACUUUUGGAUUUUAAUAGAAACAUUUAACCUUCGGAUGUUGAAAAAACAAGAAGGUAAAAUGUUCUGUAAAUUUUAAUUUUGUGAAACUGAUCAAUGGCAAUUUGAAGUGUUAGAAGAGACAACAA